AUACGUAGGUGGCAAGCGUUAUCCGGAUUUACUGGGUGUAAAGGGCGUGUAGGCGGGACUGCAAGUCAGAUGUGAAAACUAUGAGCUCAACUCAUAGCCUGCCUUUGAAACUGUAGUUCUUGAGUGUUGGAGAGGCAAUCGGAAUUCCGUGUGUAGCGGUGAAAUGCGUAGAUAUACGGAGGAAGACCAGUGGCGAAGGCGGAUUGUUGCACAGUAACUGACGCUGAGGCGCGAAAGCGUGGGGAGCAAACAGGAUUAGAUGCCAUGGUAGUCCACGCCGUAAACGAUGGAUACUAGGUGUGGGGGGUCUGACCCCCUCCGUGCCGCAGCUAACGCAAUAAGUAACCCACCUGGGGAGUACGAUCGCAAGGUUGAAACUCAAAUGAAUUGACGGGG
rnacentral:rRNA from 1 species